CGAACGCUGGCGGCGUGCUUAAUGCAUGCAAGUCGAACGAGGACCUCAUAGUGAGUAAUCAUGGUGGGGUGCCUAGUGGCGAACGGGUGCGUAACACGUGAGAAACCUGCCCCGGAGAUUGGGAUAGCCCAGGGAAACCUGGAUUAAUACCGAAUACCCUCCAACCGUCGCAUGUCGGAUGGAGGAAAUGGUCCGCUGCUCCGGGAUGGUCUCGCGGCCUAUCAGCUUGUUGGUGAGGUAACGGCUCACCAAGGCAACGACGGGUAGCUGGUCUGAGAGGACGACCAGCCACACUGGGACUGAGACACGGCCCAGACUCCUACGGGAGGCAGCAGCAGGGAAUAUUGCACAAUGGGCGAAAGCCUGAUGCAGCGACGCCGCGUGAGGGAUGAAGGCCUUAGGGUUGUAAACCUCUUUCAGGAGGGAAGAAGCGAAAGUGACGGUACCUCCAGAAGAAGACCCGGCCAACUAC
rnacentral:rRNA from 1 species